rnacentral:lncRNA from 1 species
UACAAAAAGGGCAAAGGAUAGAGCCGCUGCUCCCCAGAGGACUCAAAAUGACUUUCAUGUGGAACACAGGAGGAGUGAGAAGGGCCUCCCAUUUAUUUACCAUCUACUAAGACAUUGUGUGGAGUGCCUCUACUCUGGACAUCCAGGGACUUCGGAGAGCUGGAAGCAUAAGGACUGUGCAAUGACAGAAUCUGUGUUUUCUACCACACCCUGCCUGUGAAUAGUCCUAAUAUUUAAAAAGUGAGUAAACGG